GUGCUAGCUUCGGCAGCACAUAUACUAACAUUGGAACGGUACAGAGAUUAGCAUGAUGGCCCCUGCGCAAGGAUGACACGCAAAUUCGUGAAGCGUUCCGUGUUUUU
rnacentral:snRNA from 1 species